UGAGGAGGGAAAUUUGUAAAGAGGGUUAAUACCGCAUAAUGUCGCAGACCAAAGUGGGGGACCUUCGGGCCUCAUGCCUUCAGAUGUGCCCAGAUGGGAUUAGCUAGUAGGUGGGGUAACGGCUCACCUAGGCGACGAUCCCUAGCUGGUCUGAGAGGAUGACCAGCCACACUGGAACUGAGACACGGUCCAGACUCCUACGGGAGGCAGCAGGGGGGAAUAUUGCACAAUGGGCGCAAGCCUGAUGCAGCCAUGCCGCGUGUGUGAAGAAGGCCUUCGGGUUGUAAAGCACUUUCAGCGGGGAGGAAGGCGGUAAGGUUAAUAACCUCGGCGAUUGACGUUACCCGCAGAAGAACCCUUUUUUUAUUUCCGUGCCAGCAGCCGCGGUAAUACGGAGGGUGUAAGCGUUGAUCGGGAUUUACUGGGCGUAAAAGCGCGCGCAGGCGGUCUGUCAAGUCGGAUGUGAAAAUCCCCCGGGCUCAACCCUGGGAACUGCUUUCGAAACUGGGCAUGCUAGAAGUCUUGUAGAGGGGGGGUAGAAUUCCCAGGUGUAGCCGAUGAAAAUGCGUAGAGAUCUGGGAGGAAAUACCGUUGGGCGAAAGGCUGCCCCCCUGGACAAAAGACUGAGGCUCAGGAGGCAAAAGCGUGGGGCAGCCAUACGGGAUUAGAUACCCCUGGUAGUCCACUCCGGUAAACCGAA
rnacentral:rRNA from 1 species